UAAAAAAAAAACCCUACUUCUUUAUUUUCUUACUCUAGCAGCCGUCACCCUUCUUCUCCAUCUUCUUACUUUCUUUUUCAUUUCCUCCUUCUUCCUAGUCAAUUAUCAAGGAAAAUACAUUAACUAAUUAUCAAAAAAAGGCUAACAAUUAUUGUGGAUCUAUACCAGUGUGUUUGGCAGAUUGUAUUUUACAAUCAUGGUUAAGUCCACGGCAAGUAAAAAACGAGAAAUUAAUGAUGAUGAUGUUGGAGUUAAAGAAGAGGAAGAUGCUAGUGUGCGUGAUGGUCGAUCGACAGUUUGGAAUGAUAUGGAGAAGCUUGAAACUUCAGUCAAGAAUGAAACCAAAGCCAAAUGUAAGCAUUGUAAACAAAUUUUUAGUGCCAAAUCUACCAAUGGAACUUCCCAUUGAAGAAGACAUCUUAAUAAAUGUGUUGCAAAAAAUAAUGCUUCUAUUACAAAAUUUUUGCUUGGUGCUGAUUGUAGUUAUGGAGGUCAAACCAUGUCUUUAAAACAUCCUAAAUUGAUCCCGAUGAACUUAGAAAA